rnacentral:rRNA from 1 species
CACGGACCAAGGAGUCUAACAUGUGCGCGAGUCGUUGGGCGUUACGAAACCCGAAGGCGCAAUGAAAGUGAAGGCCCGGUCUCCGGCCGGCCUGGGUGGGAUCCGGACGGUCGCGGCCGUCCGGCGCACCACCGGCCCGUCUCGUUCGCCUCGUCGAUGAGGCGGACCAAGAGCGUACACGUUGGGACCCGAAAGAUGGUGAACUAUGCCUGAGUAGGACGAAGCCAGAGGAAACUCUGGUGGAGGUCCGCAGCGAUUCUGACGUGCAAAUCGAUCGUCAAACUUGGGUAUAGGGGCGAAAGACUAAUCGAACCAUCUAGUAGCUGGUUCCUGUCGAAGUUUCCCUCAGGAUAGCUGGCGCUCGUCGUGAGCAGUUUUAUCCGGUAAAGCGAAUGACUGGAGGCCUUGGGGACGAAACGUCCUCAACCUACUCUCAAACUUUAAAUGGGUAAGACGUCCGACUCGCUCGAUUGGAGCCGGGCAACGAAUGCGAGUGCCAAGUGGGCCACUUUUG